rnacentral:rRNA from 1 species
CCAGAGCAUGGCAGUGAGACCACGGGGGAUGAGCUUCGUUGGUCGAAAGGGAAACAGCCCAGAUCAUCAUCUAAGGCCCCUAAUUCAGGACUAAGUGGAAAACGAUGUGAAACCGCAUAGACAGCCAGGAGGUUGGCUUAGAAGCAGCCACCCUUAAAAGAGUGCGUAACAGCUCACUGGUCGAGUGGUUUUGCGCGGACAAUAUAACGGGGCUCAAGUCCUGAGCCGAAGAUAUGGAUUGCAUCGACGUUCGCGUCGUUGCAGUGGUAGAGGAGCGUUGAUGCAGCAGUGAAGCGGCGGGAGAACCCGACGUGGAGCGGCAUCAAGUGAGAAUGUAGGCAUGAGUAGCGAGAGAGGGGUGAGAAACCCCUCCGCCGAAAGCCCAAGGUUUCCUGGGGAAGGCUAAUACUCCCAGGGUAAGUCGGGAGCUAAGGAGAGGCCGCGAGGCGUAUCCGAUGCACAACUGGUUGAUAUUCCAGUACCGCCGUGUACACGUCAAGCCCAAGAACGAAAAAGUGGGGGCUGCCUUCGGGCGAACCCACGGCUUUGUUUGCGGGUAGUUGAAGGGGGACACAGGAGGGUAGAUGAUCCGGGGCGAUGGUAGUCCCCGGGUAAGCGUGUAGGAGGUUGCCGAUGAGAGUUGGUGACAUUAACUCCGAGACGCGAUGCCGAUCUCUUUUGAGAGAAGUCAUUGAUCCCACACUGUCGAGAAAAGCCCAGCAGCGAGUUGACACGGCGCCCGUACCCCAAACCGACUCAGGUGGGCGAGUAGAGAAUACUAAGGCGAUCGGGAGAACUAUGGUUAAGGAACUCGGCAAAAUGCCUCCGUAACUUCGGAAGAAGGAGGACCCUUUUUGGUGAUAGGACUUCGCGUCCUCGAGCUAGAAAGGGUGGCACAGAGCAGGGGGUAGCGACUGUUUAACAAAAACACAGCAGCGUGCCAAGCCGCAAGGCGAUGUAUACGCUGUGACGCCUGCCCAAUGCUGGAAGGUCACGAGGAACGGUUAGCCGUAAGGCGAAGCUGUGAAUCUAAGCCCCAGUGAAUGGCGGCCGUAACUAUAACGGUCCUAAGGUAGCGAAA